rnacentral:lncRNA from 1 species
UGGACUCAACCAUAUCUAUCUGAAUUCUGACCAAAUUAGAUGUUGAUAUGGAUACAGAUGGAUAAAAUCUGACCUAUUUUCAUUCCUACUCAAAACCUCUUUUCCUCCAUCCAAAUCUCCAAAACUUUCUUCCCCACCUUUAAUCACUUAGAUCUAAAACUCCAUUACUCUUUUUGUGGUGGAUCUAGCUUCUUAUCUCC